rnacentral:rRNA from 1 species
AGUGAACGCUGGCGGCAGGCCUAACACAUGCAAGUCGAGCGGCAGCGCGGGGGCAACCCUGGCGGCGAGCGGCGGACGGGUGAGGAAUUCGUCGGAAUCUGCCUUUUUGUGGGGGAUAACGUAGGGAAACUUACGCUAAUACCGCAUACGUCCUACGGGAGAAAGUGGGGGACCGCAAGGCCUCACGCAGAAAGAUGAGCCGACGACCGAUUAGCUAGUUGGUGGGGUAAAGGCCCACCAAGGCGACGAUCGGUAGCUGGUCUGGGAGGAUGAUCAGCCAAACUGGGACUGAGACACGGCCCAGACUCCUACGGGAGGCAGCAGUGGGGAAUAUUGGACAAUGGGCGCAAGCCUGAUCCAGCCAUGCCGCGUGUGUGAAGAAGGCCUUCGGGUUGUAAAGCACUUUUGUCCGGAAAGAAAUCCCUGGAGCUAAUACCUUCGGGGGAUGACGGUACCGGAAGAAUAAGCACCGGCUAACUUCGUG